rnacentral:rRNA from 1 species
UACGUAGGGGGCAAGCGUUGUCCGGAAUCAUUGGGCGUAAAGGGCGCGUAGGCGGAUAUUUAAGUCUGGUGUGAAAACCUAGGGCUCAACCCUGGGACUGCAUCGGAAACUGGGUAUCUUGAGGACAGGAGAGGAAAGUGGAAUUCCACGUGUAGCGGUGAAAUGCGUAGAUAUGUGGAUGAACACCAGUGGCGAAGGCGACUUUCUGGACUGUAACUGACGCUGAGGCGCGAAAGCGUGGGGAGCAAACAGG